AACGAACGCUGGCGGCAGGCCUAACACAUGCAAGUCGAGCGAGGACUUCGGUUCUAGCGGCGGACGGGUGAGUAACGCGUGGGAAUGUGCCCUUCUCUACGGAAUAGCCCUGGGAAACUGGGAGUAAUACCGUAUACGCCCUUUUGGGGAAAGAUUUAUCGGAGAAGGAUCAGCCCGCGUUGGAUUAGGUAGUUGGUGGGGUAAUGGCCUACCAAGCCGACGAUCCAUAGCUGGUUUGAGAGGAUGAUCAGCCACACUGGGACUGAGACACGGCCCAGACUCCUACGGGAGGCAGCAGUGGGGAAUCUUAGACAAUGGGGGCGACCCUGAUCUAGCCAUGCCGCGUGAGUGAUGAAGGCCUUAGGGUUGUAAAGCUCUUUCAGCUGGGAAGAUAAUGACGGUACCAGCAGAAGAAGCCCCGGCUAACUCCGUG
rnacentral:rRNA from 1 species